GCAGUGGAACUCCCUCACUUCUGACCCUGCCGUUGCUUCAUCAUCAAGGGAAUAAUGAAUGUUCAGUGAUUCCAGCAUUCUUGGAGAUUCUGUCAGAGUCUUGAGCAAGUGCAAGAAGUUAUCUGAUCCCUGCUUAUUUUGAUGCGGUAGCUCUUUUUACGUGUUCCUUCCUGGAUUGUUGUCAGGUGUGGUUGUUACUUUGUGAAAUAUAUUGGGUUGCUCGUAAUGUCAUGAAUCCCCGAGGGAAAUUUUCUCUAUUUCAUGACUAGAUUUACAUUAAUAAUGUUUGAACUGGAUAAGCCUACUGUUUGUUUGGUUAUGUAUAUCUGUAUUUCCAUGUUACCCACUCUAAAUAAUCUCAAAAUAGUCAGUGUCUGUUUGGUUGUCUA